UGCAACUUGAGGCCACUUCCUUUUGUCCUGUCACUUGCUACUUGGGAGAAGAGACCAACACCCUCCACGCUACAACCUCCUUUCAGGAGCAGUUUUGCAUCCGUGUUGAAGAAACAGUGAGGUUGCUUAGAUGAUAUGUUGCCUUCACAAGCCGUUCUAUGGUGGAUUCCAGCAGAUUAAGACACAGGCAUUCCUGGAAGGAUCUCUGCGAGCUCUGCACUAUUCCAUCGAUGCCAUGUUGUGUUUCUUCCACUGCAAAAUUACGUUGUUGUGCCUGAUACCUCAGAGAGAAGCUGUCGGGUACCCAUUGGCCAAGGCAGUAAGAAACAGCCGUGGAGCGCUAUUGCUAUCCCUCUUAUAAAAGUGUUGUGCUUAUUACCGCUUUAGGAUUUUGGUUUGGCUUCUGAAAAAAAGAAAGAGAAGACAUGGAAAUAAGUUUUUAGCUGAUGAACUGCAACAGUGCAGAAACUCCUUUGUUUUACAUCGCAGUGCGCGUCUGCUCACAGCAGCAGCAGCAGGAUGUUCGAGGUCCCCGCUGCAGAUCGCUGGAGUCACAACCUCUCUUUGGAAACAUCUGGUCCUAAAACGUAAUUCAUUACUUUGAGCAAAUUUAUAUUCUGAAUUAAAUACAACUUUCCUAAGUGCCAUGUGAGCUUUUAUUAUAAUGAAGUCAGAAGACAGAAAUUUGGCACCAGCUUGCUUUCUCUCCCAAGCACAUGUAUCUUCUCUCUAGAGUAACAGUAGAUUUCAUUCUGAGACCUUGUAUUCUCAGGAAAGCAGGUCAAAGUUAUUAGUUUUCUUCAGCUUUGUUGGAUUCAGUGCCAUAAAUAUAAAAAAAGCUCCUACACGUUUGGGCUGACACUCCUAGUGUUAUUCAGACAUAUGAUGCACAAGGUGAUUUUUUUCUAGAAAUUGUUUGUUUACUCUUCUGACCCUAUUUUGGAUUCAUAUUAGGGGUGAUCAGCUGGGCUGUCUGCAAAUGGGUUUUGUUCCAAAGGAACUGGAGCUUUGUGUGGGAACUGACAUGGAGACUCGUCAGGGACCAUGAAUGACCAUGAAUGACCAUCUUCCCUCUCCUCUUCCUUGCUCUGCUCCCCUCUCUGAGAACGUUGCCAUUGAAACAACUUUCAGCUGCCUCUUUUAGAGGAAGCUGGUGGUUUUAUCAUCACAAAUUCAAUGAUAAUUUAAGACUCUCUUGCAUUUAAACAGGCUUUGUCAAAACAUUUUCGGCCAAUUUUCAUCCUUGCAGCAAGGCAAGCUUCUGGACUUCUAAUAUUAAAUUUGAAACCUCCAUCAUUAGGAAAAUGAGGAGAGUUACUUUUCUCAUAAACAAAUCAGAAGACAUUACAAAGGUCAGGAAAUAAGCUGUACAGGUCAUAAAUUGUACAGAAUUCACAAAAAAAAGUGCCAUAACAUUUGUCAUGAUGCUGUUAACCUGUGCAAUUCUUUAUCGUGCUAAGAAAAACACUGCUUUCCCAAAAUAUAGCACUGCUAAAAGUUUAUUAUAGCUUUUUUUGUGGUUGGAGAGUGAUCUAUAAUAAACUAGUGAUG